UCUUGAGAACCCGGACAAUUCCGUACACGAGGAGGAACUUGGGUUUAUUCCCAGCCUGAGUUUGGACCGUGUCUUUGCGGCGGCGAGGGGAACGCGUAAAAUGACCGAAAGGAAGAUUAUACAAACCCUUGUGGGGCAAAGUUUUGCCGAGAGCUUUUAAAGGAUCGGGGAAGAAGGUGCAGUAGUGCAGUCCUUUAUUUGAAGACUAACUGUGGAAAGAGGAAUUUGGAACGGUGGAAUCCUUUUGCAGGGAUUCUACUUCAAAGUGCUGUUUCUACUUAUCAAGAUAGUAUGGUAUUGGCACAAAAACAGACACACAGACCAUUGGAAUAGAAUACAGAACCCAGAACUGGACCCACAAAUGUAUGGCCAACUAAUCUUUGACAAAGCAGGAAAGAUUAUCCAAUGGAAAGAAGUCUCUUUAGCAAAUGGUGCUGGGAGAACUGGACAGCAACACGAAGAAGAAUGAAACUGGACCACUUUCUUACACCAUUCACAAAAAUAAACUAAAAUGGAUGAAAGACCUAAAUGUGAGACAGGAAACCAUCAAAAUCCUAUAGGAGAAAACAGGCAACAACCUCUUUGACCUCAGCCACAGCAACUUCUUGCUCUACACGUCUCCAAAGGCAAGGGAAAUACAAGCAAAAAUGAACUACUGGGACCUCAUCAAGAUAAAAAAACUUUUGCCCUGCAAAGGAAAUAAUCAACAAAACUAAAAGGCAACGGAUGGAAUGGGAGAAGAUAUUUGCAAAUGACAUAUCGGAUAAAGGGUUAGUAUCCAAAAUCUAUAAAGAACUUACCAACCUCAACACCUAAAAAACAAAUAAUCCAAUGAAGAAAUGGGCAGAAGACAUGAAUAGACACUUUUCCAAAGACGACAUCCAGAUGGCCAACAGACACAUGAAAAUAUGCAUAACACGUUUUUAAAGUCAAGUGGAUAAGGAUAUAUAUUUUGUACCUUUCCCAGUCAGCAUUGCUAUUUUUCCCCUUGGCUUCUGAUGUUGGCAACAAUGAUUUGCGAUUUACAAUAAUGGAUUAUCCAUUGUUGUGUCACUCAGGAGUGAUACGUUUUAAGUGUGUAACUUAAAUGCAUGGCAAUCAUAAGUGUUAACAGUCUUUUGCUUUGUCUAUGGAUUAACCAUCGUGCUUUGUACAUAAUGCUUGUUUAAUUUUUAAAUUGUAAAUAUUGUGACCAUGUUUUCUAAGAGUUCAGAAAAUGAAAAUGAAAACAACUGUAAUACCAA